AAAAAAAAAGCAUGUUAGCCUUAUCUCAGAUGUCAUCGUUUUCUAUAAUUUAAGGCACUUGAGUUAUUUUUUAUGUUCAGCAUAUCUCAGUUUAAUAUUGAUGUAUUUGCUUGUGCCUUUGUUUUUGUUUCUAAAGAGUACUCAGCGACUGUUUAAUCUCUCAGGAUUUAAUCUCAACCUAAAGCCAAAGCACUGGUUCAUUCCAUUCUGUGCAGCUCUCCUCUCUUUCAAGCUUCUAGAUCUUUGAGUUUUUGACUGAUUGGAAUGGCAGCCAAUACUAAGUAGCACAUUAUUGUGUCAUAGUAUUAUGUCUUCUCAGUUUAUUAUAUGCAUCCAGAUGUAAAAGCUCAUAGAUAUAUUUAUCUGCAACCUAAAGCGGUACUAUUUUAAUUAUGGCCUUAUAUGAUAAGAUAAUGUUUUAUCAAAAGUUUUAUGCGUUUUGCAUAUUUGUCACAGGAUUCCCAAUGCACUGUAAUAAUAUUUUGUUCUAUACAUAAUUGGAGUAAAUUUGUAUCCUGUAGGAAAUGAUUAAAGCUAAGAUUGUUGCCAUUUUUAGGCAUAUUAGAAAAUGUCAAAUUAUUUUUUUGUCAUUGAUUUUUUUUUUCUGUA